UAGAAACUGCAUGAUUGGGCUCGUUUUGCGCAGCCUAGGUGGGAGGCGUUGAAAAUCUUUCUCCGGGAAGAUUGGAGCCGUCAUUGAGAGACCACUCUUAACGAGCUAGAUUUCUAAUUGUGAUUCCUUGAAUCAGGACACAAGACAGUUUCUGGUGGGCAGUUUUAUUGGGGCAAUAGCCUCCUAAAAGGUAACGGAGGCGCGCAAAGGUCCCCUCAGACUAGACGGAAAUUAGUCGUAGAGCGUAAAGGCAGAAGGGGGCUUAACUGCAAGACCGACAAGUCAAGCAGGAGCGAAAGCUGGCCUUAGUGAUCCGGCGGUACCGUGUGGAAGGGCCGUCGCUCAACGGAUAAAAGUUACUCUAGGGAUAACAGGCUGAAAAA
rnacentral:rRNA from 1 species